CCACGUCACAGCCGAAAACUUUACCCGGUAAGCGGGAUAAAGUUUCUCCAUAUGAACAGAACAAAAGUAUUUGGCUAGUCGAAAAAGUUUUCUCGUUAACCGGGAUAACUUUUGCCCUUAUGAACAGGCCCUAAUAGAGAUCGACACAACAUGAACAAUAGUACUAGUAUAAUCAUAAGGGGCGGGCCAUUAGAAAUCCCGGGAGGGAAAAUUCCCCCAAAAAAAUUCGUGCAAAGAAAAAUGCCUGGAAAAAAAAUUCAUGCAGCCAUUACGUCAGAGAAAAAAAAAUCGUGCAAGCAAACAGCAUAGUGCAAAUAGUCUUGAAAAAAAUUCUUGCAGAGGUUAAAUGCAUAAAAAAAAUCCUGUUGAGUGUAGAGACAUGAGACUGAAAAACAAAAUCGUGCCGCAAAAAUUUUAUACCCCGCCGCCUCCCGGGAUUUCUAAUGGUCCUCCCCUAAUCAAUUAGCAUGAACCAAUCAAAAAGACAGAUUAAGGUAAUUCCGCAGUUUUGCAUUGCGCACUUUUAC